rnacentral:rRNA from 1 species
AGGCUAGAUCGGCUACCUACUGGAUGGUAGUACAAGCGAGAUAGCAGGUGCAAAGGCAAAUCCGUGCACAGAAUGCAAGGCGUGAAGUGGAGCGAACGAGCAAUCAAGUAGCGAAGCGAUUGAUGCCAGCUUUCAAGAAAAGUUGCUAACGUAAUUAUAUGCGGCCCGUACCGAGAACGGACACACGUGGUCAAGGAGAGUAUCCUAAGGUGAGCGAGUGAACUGUUGUUAAGGAACUCUGCAAAAUUACUUCGUAAGUUCGCAAGAAGAAGUGCUACAGCGAUGUAGCCGCAGUGAAGAGGCCCAAGUAACUGUUUAACAAAAACACAGCUUUAUGCUAAGUCGUAAGACGAUGUAUAUGAGGUGAUGCCUGCCCAGUGCUGGAAGGUUAAAAGGAGAUGUGCAAGCAUUGAUCUGAAGCCCCAGUGAACGGCGGCCGUAACUAUAACGGUCCUAAGGUAGCGAAAUUCCUUGUCGGGUAAGUUCCGACGCGCAUGAAUGGUAUAAUAAUUUGGGCGCUGUCUCGACAGCAGACUCGGUGAAAUCUUAAUACCUGUGAACAUGCAGGUUACCCGCGACUAGACGGAAAGACCCCAUGGAGCUUUACUAUAGCUUAAUAUUGAAUAGUUGAAAAUCCUGUACAGGAUAGGUAGGAGACAAAGAAGUUUGUGCGUCAGCAUGAAUGGAGUCAACGGUGGGAUACUACUCUUGAUUUUCGAUUGUUCUAACUUAGGAUCAAAACGGGUCCGAGGACAGUGUUAGGUGGGUAGUUUGACUGGGGCGGUCGCCUCCUAAAGAGUAACGGAGGCGCCCCAAGGUACCCUCAGUAUGGUUGGAAAUCAUACAACGAGUGCAAAGGCAUAAGGGUGCUUGACUGCGAGACCUACAAGUCGAGCAGGGACGAAAGUCGGGCUUAGUGAUCCGGCGGUUCCGAGUGGAAGGGCCGUCGCUCAACGGAUAAAAGCUACCCUGGGGAUAACAGGCUGAUCGCGUCCAAGAGUUCACAUCGACGACGCGGUUUGGCACCUCGAUGUCGGCUCAUCGCAUCCUGGAGGGGAAGUACCUUCCAAGGGUAUGGCUGUUCGCCAUUUAAAGCGGUACGCGAGCUGGGUUCAAAACGUCGUGAGACAGUUUGGUCCCUAUCUGUCGUGGGCGUAGGAAGUUUGAAAGGAGCUGUCCCUAGUACGAGAGGACCGGGAUGGACAUAGCAAUGGUACACCAGUUGUCACGCCAGUGGCACAGCUGGGUAGCUACCUAUGGAUCGGAUAAACGCUGAAAGCAUCUAAGCGCGAAGCCGUCCUUAAGAUAAGACUUCCCAUUCGCAAGAAGUAAGAUCCCUUCAAAGUUAGGAGGUUGAUAGGUCAUAGAUGUACGCAUAGUGAUAUGUUUAGUCAAGUGAUACUAAUAGAUCGAGGACUUAAGAUA